GGCUUGAGGACCGUAUUCAUGGAAGAGGAUUGAACAGACUACUGAGUUCUUAAGAGAAAAAUGGCACUUAAGAAAUUGAUGGUGAUAUCAAAGGAAGGUUACUUAUUACUCUUGGACUUUGAUGAUGAGGACGAUGACAUAAAAGUUUCAGAGGAGGCUCUUGCGGAAGAGAUGAAGUAGACAGUAUGUUGGAUAAAUCUGGAGUAAAGAACCCAGCAAUUGGUAAAGAUGAGAAUAUAUCGCCUCAAGUAAAAGGAGAUGAAGACAUGGGAGAUGAARUUGACAGUAUGUUGGCUACAUCUGGAGGUCUUUUCUCCUGAGAACACGGGACUCCAGCAUCUUCGGAUUCUGCUCUUGGAGAUGUGUGCAGCUGAACAGAGCGUUGAGGAAACGUCAGUGAUUUUAUAACUACUUAUCAUGUUGGGAGAUUGUUGUGAUGAUUGCCUGGACUCUCAGAUGUUACACAGGCUGCAUCAUUGGACUGAAAGUGAAUGGCCCAUGUGUUGCCACUGAUGUGAGCCAUUUGCAAGCC
rnacentral:precursor_RNA from 1 species